CCAAUAGCGUAUAUUAAAGUUGUUGCAGUUAAAAAGCUCGUAGUUGAAUUUUAGGCCUGGCCGGGCGGUCCGUCUUUGGCGAGUACUGUCCUGUGUCGGGUCCACCUUCUGGUGAACCAGUAUGUCCUUUAUUGGGUGUGCCGGGGAGCCAGGACCAUUACCUUGAAAAAAUUAGAGUGUUUAAAGCAGGCAUUUGCUUGAAUAGAUUAGCAUGGAAUAA
rnacentral:rRNA from 1 species